rnacentral:rRNA from 1 species
UCGAACGAGGGUCCUUCGGGACUCGAGUGGCGAACGGGUGAGUAACACGUAGGGAACCUGCCCGUGCGACCGGGAGAACUUUCGGAAACGGAAGCUGAUACCGGAUAGGGACAGAGACGGCAUCGACUCUGUGUUAAAGGAGCUGAAAGGCUCCGCGCACGGAUGGACCUGCGGUGCAUUAGCUGGUUGGUGAGGUAACGGCCCACCAAGGCGACGAUGCAUAGCCGGCCUGAGAGGGCGGACGGCCACAUUGGGACUGAGACACGGUCCACAUUUAUACGGGAGGCAGCAGUGGGGAAUAUUGCACAAUGGGGGAAACCCUGAUGCAGCGACGCCGCGUGAGCGAAGAAGUAUUUCGGUAUGUAAAGCUCUAUCAGCAGGGAAGAAAAUGACGGUACCUGACUAAGAAGCCCCGGCUAAAUACGUGCCAGCAGCCGCGGUAAUACGUAUGGGGCAAGCGUUAUCCGGAUUUACUGGGUGUAAAGGGAGCGCAGGCGGCUUGGCAAGUCUGAUGUGAAAGGCUGGGGCUCAACCCCAGGACUGCAUUGGAAACUGUUAGGCUGGAGUGUCGGAGAGGUAAGCGGAAUUCCUAGUGUAGCGGUGAAAUGCGUAGAUAUUACGAGGAACACCAGUGGCGAAGGCGGCUUACUGGACGACAACUGACGCUGAGGCUCGAAAGCGUGGGGAGCAAACAGGAUUAGAUACCCUGGUAGUCCACGCCGUACACGAUGAAUACUAGGUGUCGGUGGGCAAAGCCCAUCGGUGCCGCAGCAAACGCAGUAAGUAUUCCACCUGCGGAGUACGUUCGC